CGGCGGCAGAACCAAGAGCCCACGGAACAGACUUUCGGAAGCUGGGGUCAGAGAGAACCUAGGCCAACAACAGUCACAUAGAAGACCCAACUGGCCUUCCUUCCAGCCCAAGCAGGAAAAACCUGGAAAAGAAGUGAAGGUUCUGACCCCAUGCAAGGGCAAGCUAAAGAGGCUUCUGAACGGGGGCUGGAGAUACCAAAGAGCAAGUAAGCUUCUUGUAUCCAACUAGUGAUGCAUUCUGCAGUCAAGAAAAUUAACUCAGAAAACGGAGGGGGGCGGCGGAGACGGCUCGUCUGUGUCCGAGUCGUCGUCGUCCUCGGGCACCUGAGGCUUGAGCAGCACCGAACGGCCCCGACUGCGGGGCCGGCGCGGCGAACACAUGAAAACGUCGGCAGCCAUGAGGAGAACCUGGUCCGGGGCAUCCCCCGGGAGCCGGGGCGACGUAAAGCGGAGAAGCACGGGGAACGGAGGGGGCCGCCGGCCCGACCCGGCCCGGCCCUCGCGCAGACUGCCCGGGAACGCGCGGCCUGAGGGGGAGGGCGCGGGCCUCCUCGUAACGUCACUGUCGUCUUGGCCAAUCGGAUGCUCGCCUCUGCCUCUUAAAGGAAAUCCAGUGAGAUGGUUCAGUAGGUAAAUAAAAGCACUUGCUGUUAAGUCUGACCUUCAUUCCAACCCGUGGGACCCACAAGAUAGAAGACUCCCAACAACUUAAUCUCUGACCACCCCAACCCCACUGUGGCAUCUGCGCUUCUCACGAUAAAUAAAGGUAAAAAUAAAUAAAUAAAAGAUUUUGUUUGGGACUGGGUCGUCAGGUCAGGAGAUAGUACCACCCACAUUCAGAAUGACUCUCU
rnacentral:lncRNA from 1 species